rnacentral:rRNA from 2 species
ACCGCGAAACUGCGAAUGGCUCAUUAAAUCAGUUAUAGUUUAUUUGAUAGUACCUUACUACUUGGAUAACCGUGGUAAUUCUAGAGCUAAUACAUGCUAAAAAUCCCGACUUCGGAAGGGAUGUAUUUAUUAGAUUAAAAACCAAUGCCCUCUGGGCUCACUGGUGAUUCAUAAUAACUUGUCGAAUCGCAUGGCCUUGCGCCGGCGAUGGUUCAUUCAAAUUUCUGCCCUAUCAACUUUCGACGGCUGGGUCUUGGCCAGCCAUGGUGACAACGGGUAACGGAGGGUUAGGGCUCGACCCCGGAGAAGGAGCCUGAGAGACGGCUACUACAUCCAAGGAAGGCAGCAGGCGCGCAAAUUACCCAAUGCCAACAGCCGGCGAGGUAGUGACAAUACAUACUGAUACAGGGCUCUUUUGGGUCUUGUAAUUGGAAUGAGUACAAUUUAAAUCUCUUAACGAGGAACAAUUGGAGGGCAAGUCUGGUGCCAGCAGCCGCGGUAAUUCCAGCUCCAACAGCGUAUAUUAAAGUUGUUGCGGUUAAAACGCUCGUAGUUGAACCUUGGGCCUGGCCGGCCGGUCCGCCUCACCGCGAGCACUGGUUCGGCCGGGCCUUUCCCUCUGGGGAACCGCAUGCCCUUCACUGGGCGUGUCGGGGAACCAGGACUUUUACUUUGAAAAAAUUAGAGUGUUCAAAGCAGGCCUAUGCUCGGAUACAUUAGCAUGGAAUAAUAGAAUAGGACGCGCAGUUCUAUUUUGUUGGUUUCUAGGACCGCCGUAAUGAUUAAUAGGGACAGUCGGGGGCAUCGGUAUUCAAUUGUCAGAGGUGAAAUUCUUGGAUUUAUUGAAGACCAACUACUGCGAAAGCAUUUGCCAAGGAUGUUUUCAUUAAUCAGGAACGAAAGUUAGGGGAUCGAAGACGAUCAGAUACCGUCGUAGUCUUAACCAUAAACUAUGCGAACUAGGGAUCGGGCGAUGUUAUUUUUUGACUCGCUCGGCACCUUACACGAAAGUACAAGUUUCUG